rnacentral:rRNA from 1 species
ACGUACACUCCUGCGGGAGGCAGCAGUGGGGAAUAUUGGACAAUGGGCGCAAGCCUGAUCCAGCCAUGCCGCGUGAGUGAUGAAGGCCCUAGGGUUGUAAAGCUCUUUCACCGGUGAAGAUAAUGACGGUAACCGGAGAAGAAGCCCCGGCUAACUUCGUGCCAGCAGCCGCGGUAAUACGAAGGGGGCUAGCGUUGUUCGGAUUUACUGGGCGUAAAGCGCACGUAGGCGGACUAUUAAGUCAGGGGUGAAAUCCCGGGGCUCAACCCCGGAACUGCCUUUGAUACUGGUAGUCUUGAGUUCGAGAGAGGUGAGUGGAAUUCCGAGUGUAGAGGUGAAAUUCGUAGAUAUUCGGAGGAACACCAGUGGCGAAGGCGGCUCACUGGCUCGAUACUGACGCUGAGGUGCGAAAGCGUGGGGAGCAAACAGGAUUAGAAACCCCGGUAGUCAU